UCAUGGGCGCGAGCCUGAACCAGCCAAGUAGCGUGAAGGAUGAAGGCUCUAUCGGUCGUAAACUUCUUUUAUAUGGGAAUAAAGUUUUCCACGUGUGGAAUUUUGUAUGUACCAUAUGAAUAAGGAUCGGCUAACUCCGUGCCAGCAGCCGCGGUAAUACGGAGGAUCCGAGCGUUAUCCGGAUUUAUUGGGUUUAAAGGGAGCGUAGGUGGAUUGUUAAGUCAGUUGUGAAAGUUUGCGGCUCAACCGUAAAAUUGCAGUUGAAACUGGCAGUCUUGAGUACAGUAGAGGUGGGCGGAAUUCGUGGUGUAGCGGUGAAAUGCUUAGAUAUCACGAAGAACUCCGAUUGCGAAGGCAGCUCACUAGACUGUUACUGACACUGAUGCUCGAAAGUGUGGGUAUCAAACAGGAUUAGAUACCCUGGUAGUCCAAGGGCGAAUUC
rnacentral:rRNA from 1 species